rnacentral:rRNA from 1 species
UACGUAGGUGGCAAGCGUUGUCCGGAAUUAUUGGGCGUAAAGCGCGCGCAGGCGGUCCUUUAAGUCUGAUGUGAAAGCCCACGGCUCAACCGUGGAGGGUCAUUGAAAACUGGGGGACUUGAGUGCAGGAGAGAAGAGUGGAAUUCCACGUGUAGCGGUGAAAUGCGUAGAGAUGUGGAGGAACACCAGUGGCGAAGGCGACUCUUUGGCCUGUAACUGACGCUGAGGCGCGAAAGCGUGGGGAGCGAACAGG